UACGUAGGGUGCGGAGCGUUAAUUCGGAAAUUACUGGGCGUAAAGCGUGCGCAGGGCGGUGAUGUAAGACCGAUGUGAAAAUCCCCGGGCUUAACCCUGGGAACUGCAUUGGUGACUGCAUUGCUGGAGGUAUGGCAGAGGGGUGGAAUUCCACGUGUAGCAGUGAAAUGCGUAGAGAUGGUGGAGGAACACCGAUGGCGAAGGCAGCCCCCUGGGCCAAUACUGACGCUCAUGCACGAAAGCGUGGGGAGCAAACAGG
rnacentral:rRNA from 1 species